GGGACACGUGGUAUCCUGUCUGAAUAUGGGGGGACCAUCCUCCAAGGCUAAAUACUCCUGACUGACCGAUAGUGAACCAGUACCGUGAGGGAAAGGCGAAAAGAACCCCGGCGAGGGGAGUGAAAAAGAACCUGAAACCGUGUACGUACAAGCAGUGGGAGCCUCUUAAUGGGGUGACUGCGUACCUUUUGUAUAAUGGGUCAGCGACUUAUAUUCUGUAGCAAGGUUAACCGAAUAGGGGAGCCGAAGGGAAACCGAGUCUUAACUGGGCGUUAAGUUGCAGGGUAUAGACCCGAAACCCGGUGAUCUAGCCAUGGGCAGGUUGAAGGUUGGGUAACACUAACUGGAGGACCGAACCGACUAAUGUUGAAAAAUUAGCGGAUGACUUGUGGCUGGGGGUGAAAGGCCAAUCAAACCGGGAGAUAGCUGGUUCUCCCCGAAAGCUAUUUAGGUAGCGCCUCGUGAAUUCAUCUCCGGGGGUAGAGCACUGUUUCGGCAAGGGGGUCAUCCCGACUUACCAACCCGAUGCAAACUGCGAAUACCGGAGAAUGUUAUCACGGGAGACACACGGCGGGUGCUAACGUCCGUCGUGAAGAGGGAAACAACCCAGACCGCCAGCUAAGGUCCCAAAGUCAUGGUUAAGUGGGAAACGAUGUGGGAAGGCCCAGACAGCCAGGAUGUUGGCUUAGAAGCAGCCAUCAUUUAAAGAAAGCGUAAUAGCUCACUGGUCGAGUCGGCCUGCGCGGAAGAUGUAACGGGGCUAGACCAUGCACCGAAGCUGCGGCAGCGACACUAUGUGUUGUUGGGUAGGGGAGCGUUCUGUAAGCCUGUGAAGG
rnacentral:rRNA from 1 species